rnacentral:lncRNA from 1 species
UGGCAUGUGCAUGCAUACAGCCAAUAAGGCAAACCUCCAGCAAGGAUUUAGACAUCCAAACUAUGGAGAGGGUAAUCAAGGGCUGUUACUCAACCAAUAGAAUCCAGAUAAUUUCCGCCACAAGUGGGAGCAGGGAGCUUGCUGGGGAGGGAGUUACAAUCGGGAGCAGAACAUAGGAAAGCAGGAGAGGCUUGUUAGACCAUAUUACUAGGCUGCCGUUUCCGUACCUCUCCACCCAAUGAACUAUAUCCACAAAGACCAUACCUGAAAUUCCAAAUAAUAAAAGCCAUUUUAUACCCCCAAAUCAGUAAGCAACAAGAAAUUCUUGAAAUAAUGUCACUUUAUGCAGCUAUGGAAUCAGAACAUCCAUUAUAUAGGAUUUAUAAGAAGUCAACAACUGAGUGCAUGAAGUGACCAUCUGUUUUAUUCUGAGUUAAUUCCACCAUUUCAGACAGGCCUUUCCUGGAGUCCUUUAACUACACAGUCCAAGAUAUGAAGAUGGACUAUUAUACAUAAAAGGCCGGUACUUGGCAGGAUUAGCACCUGCAUGGCUACUGGCCAUGGUGAUUGGGAGAUAUUGAGUUGCACUCCCCCAAAAUCACUUUCUGAACUUUGGAGACCUGUGGUUGUAAUGGCCACCUUCCCUGGCAACGUUGCUUCUAGCCCAGCAGUAACAGAAACAAGCCCUUUGAAAGGAGGGCUGGAGAAAAAGAGAACAAGCAAAAUUGUGCACAGGUACAUGCUGUGCUUUACUGGAACUGUCCCUCUAAAACUUGGUAGAUCUAUUUAUAAUAGGUUGCACUGUCUAAUCCAGAUGCUAAUAAAGCUCUUUGGAGAGAGUUGGGCAGGAUUUGCUUGCAAAGAAAGCAUGGAUCUCAUCAGAACAGUUCCCCCCCCCCCUUCCUUUUCUUUACUUGGCAAUGCUUGGCCCUUUUUGACAGCUUCUCACUGCAACUGAGGUCCUGUUGAAGUAACGUUGACAUAAGAGCAGAUAAUCACUGUGACACCAGCCUUUGAGGUCACCAAAGGACAAAGGGGCUGU